rnacentral:rRNA from 1 species
UACGUAGGGGGCAAGCGUUGUCCGGAAUGAUUGGGCGUAAAGGGCGCGUAGGCGGCCUGGUAAGUCUGGAGUGAAAGUCCUGCUUUUAAGGUGGGAAUUGCUUUGGAUACUGUCGGGCUUGAGUGCAGGAGAGGUAAGUGGAAUUCCCGGUGUAGCGGUGAAAUGCGUAGAGAUCGGGAGGAACACCAGUGGCGAAGGCGACUUACUGGACUGUAACUGACGCUGAGGCGCGAAAGUGUGGGGAGCAAACAGG